GAAACUGAGAGAAAUCGUUUCCGUAUGCUCUCCGAAGGCAGAGGUCACAGGUUCGAAUCCUGUCGGGUGCGCCA
rnacentral:tRNA from 1 species